rnacentral:tRNA from 1 species
GACUUCGUGGCGUAGAGGUCAGCACACUCGGCUCGUAUUCGAGAUGUCCGUGGAUCGAGUCCCUGCGAGGGCA